rnacentral:rRNA from 1 species
UGGGGAAUAUUGCGCAAUGGGGGAAACCCUGACGCAGCAACGCCGCGUGAAGGAUGAAGGUUUUCGGAUCGUAAACUUCUUUGAUGAGGGACGAACAAAAUGACGGUACCUCAAAAACAAGCCACGGCUAACUACGUGCCAGCAGCCGCGGUCAUACGUAGGUGGCGAGCGUUGUCCGGAAUUACUGGGUGUAAAGGGCGUGUAGGCGGGGAUGUAAGUCAGAUGUGAAAUUCCAUGGCUCAACUGUGGGGCUGCAUCUGAAACUAUGUCUCUUGAGUGCCGGAGAGGGAAGCGGAAUUCCUAGUGUAGCGGUGAAAUGCGUAGAUAUUAGGAGGAACACCAGUGGCGAAGGCGGCUUUCUGGACGGUAACUGACGCUGAGGCGCGAAAGCGUGGGGAGCAAACA